ACUCCUACGGGAGGCAGCAGUGGGGAAUUUUGGACAAUGGGGGCAACCCUGAUCCAGCAAUGCCGCGUGUGUGAAGAAGGCCUUCGGGUUGUAAAGCACUUUUGUCCGGAAAGAAAACCUCCGUCCUAAUACGGUGGGGGGAUGACGGUACCGGAAGAAUAAGCACCGGCUAACUACGUGCCAGCAGCCGCGGUAAUACGUAGGGUGCAAGCGUUAAUUGGAAUUACUGGGCGUAAAGCGUGCGCAGGCGGUUCGCUAAGACCGAUGUGAAAUCCCCGGGCUUAACCUGGGAACUGCAUUGGUGACUGGCGGGCUAGAGUAUGGCAGAGGGGGGUAGAAUUCCACGUGUAGCAGUGAAAUGCGUAGAGAUGUGGAGGAAUACCGAUGGCGAAGGCAGCCCCCUGGGCCAAUACUGACGCUCAUGCACGAAAGCGUGGGGAGCAAACAGGAUUAGAUACCCUGGUAGUCCACGCCCUAAACGAUGUCAACUAGUUGUCGGGUCUUCAUUGACUUGGUAACGAAGCUAACGCGUGAAGUUGACCGCCUGGGGAGUACGGUCGCAAGAUUAAAACUCAAAGGAAUUGACG
rnacentral:rRNA from 1 species